ACCUGAAAAUAGACAAACAAAAGAUAAACCUUUGUCAAGGCUUUGUUAGCAUAGUUUGUCAUUGAAUUAAAAUUAAGAAUUUAGAGUACAAAUAAACUCCCCCUUUCUUAUUGCCCCCCUAUCAUUAGGCUCCCCCUAAAUAUAUGCUCCCUUCAAAUUUUGGAGAUACAUAUUUUAUCAUGCCUUUAUAUGAUAAUACUUCUCAAGAAGUUGUACAAGAUACCACUUGUGAUGAUACCACUUGUAACUUGUGAUGAUACCACUUGUAAGAUUAAACUUCUCUUGAAGAUACAAAAUUCUCCUCCUUUGUCAUUAUCAAAAACAAAGAAAUACAUGGGGAAAUGCAGAUUUGGGGUAUAUGGGGCAAAGCAAUUUGGGGUUUGUAAACAUUCUCCCCUUUUAAAAAAAUCUCCCCCUUUUAUAAGAGAUUUGGGGUAUUUGAAAUGAUCUCCCCCUUUGUGAAAAAUACUCCCCUUUUUAAAAGAAAAUAUUCUCUCC
rnacentral:lncRNA from 1 species